ACGAAUCCCAAAAAGCCGGUCUCAGUUCGAAUUGGGGUCUGCAACUCGACCCCAUGAAGUCGGAGUCGCUAGUAAUCGCAGAUCAGCAACGCUGCGGUGAAUACGUUCCCGGGCCUUGUACACACCGCCCGUCACGUCACGAAAGUCGGCAACACCCGAAGCCGGUGGCCCAACCCUUGUGGAGGGAGCCGUCGAAGGUGGGGCUGGCGACUUGGGACGAAGUCGUAA
rnacentral:rRNA from 1 species